CCUACGGGAGGCAGCAGUGGGGAAUCUUGCGCAAUGGGCGAAAGCCUGACGCAGCAACGCCGCGUGCGGGAUGACGGCCCUCGGGUUGUAAACCCCUUUCGGCAGGGACGAAGCGAGAGUGACGGUACCUGCAGAAGAAGUCCCGGCUAACUACGUGCCAGCAGCCGCGGUAACACGUAGGGGACGAGCGUUGUCCGGAUUCAUUGGGCGUAAAGCGCGCGUAGGCGGCCCGGAAAGUCGGUUGUGAAAUCCCGGGGCUCAACCCCGGGACCGCGUCCGAAACUUCCGAGCUCGAGGCAGGUAGGGGAGAUCGGAAUUCCUGGUGUAGCGGUGAAAUGCGCAGAUAUCAGGAGGAACACCGGUGGCGAAGGCGGAUCUCUGGGCCUUGCCUGACGCUGAGGCGCGAAAGCUAGGGGAGCGAACAGGAUUAGAUACCCUGGUAGUCCUAGCCGUAAACGUUGGGUGCUAGGUGUGGGCGGACAUCGACCCCGUCCGUGCCGAAGCUAACGCAUUAAGCACCCCGCCUGGGGAGUACGGCCGCAAGGCUAAAACUCAAAGGAAUUGACGG
rnacentral:rRNA from 1 species